rnacentral:rRNA from 1 species
UACGUAGGGGGCGAGCGUUGUCCGGAAUCAUUGGGCGUAAAGAGCGUGUAGGCGGCUUGGCAAGUCUGACGUGAAAGCCCGCGGCUCAACCGCGGAUUGUCGUUGGAAACUGCCUCGCUAGAGUCCGGAAGAGGAGAGCGGAAUUCCUGGUGUAGCGGUGGAAUGCGCAGAUAUCAGGAAGAACACCCGUGGCGAAGGCGGCUCUCUGGGACGGUACUGACGCUGAGGUGCGAAAGCGUGGGGAGCAAACAGG